UCACCGAUAAAAUCGGUGGUCAGUGCUUGACUAGUGACCAACACCACCGAACAAGCAAUACCUACAAAUAUCACAACACGAAGACACACGUCAAAAACGACAACUGAUAAGUUAUUCUAACAAAAACACGGGUACCUUUCUGCCGAGUUUCAUGUUCAUGGGUUUAUUGAGGAGCGACAUACCAAAACUGCUAACGAACAUAAUCAAGGGUAACAGUGCUAGUUUUUCGGCUUCCAGAUUUAAAUAGUCUUGUAAGUACAUCGGCAAGAACACC